CCUACGGGAGGCAGCAGUAGGGAAUUUUCCGCAAUGGGCGAAAGCCUGACGGAGCAAUACCGCGUGAGGGAUGACGGCCUGUGGGUUGUAAACCUCUUUUCUCAAGGAAGAAGUUCUGACGGUACUUGAGGAAUAAGCAUCGGCUAACUCUGUGCCAGCAGCCGCGGUAAUACAGAGGAUGCAAGCGUUAUCCGGAAUCACUGGGCAUAAAGCGUCUGUAGGUUGUUUAGUAAGUCUGCUGUUAAAGACUGGGGCUUAACCCCAGAAAAGCAGUGGAAACUGCUAGACUCGAGUGUGGUAGAGGUAGAGGGAAUUCCUAGUGUAGCGGUGAAAUGCGUAGAUAUUAGGAAGAACACCAAUGGCGAAGGCACUCUACUGGGCCAUAACUGACACUGAGAGACGACAGCUAGGGGAGCAAACGGGAUUAGAUACCCCGGUAGUCCCUAGCCGUAAACGAUGGAUACUAGAUGUUGCACGUAUUAACCCGUGCAGUAUCGUAGCUAAGGCGUUAAGUNUCCGCCUGGGAAUACGCUCGCAAAGGNGUGAAACUCAAGGAUUGACGNUGAGAGNGCGAGCGACGACGAGGGAGAGG
rnacentral:rRNA from 1 species